rnacentral:rRNA from 1 species
GAUGAACGCUGGCGGCGUGCCUAAUACAUGCAAGUCGAGCGAAUGGAUUAAGAGCUUGCUCUUAUGAAGUUAGCGGCGGACGGGUGAGUAACACGUGGGUAACCUGCCCAUAAGACUGGGAUAACUCCGGGAAACCGGGGCUAAUACAGGAUAACAUUUUGAACAGCAUGGGUCGAAAUUGAAUGACGGCUUCGGCUGUCACUUAUGGAUGGACCCGCGUCGCAUUAGCUAGUUGGUGAGGUAACGGCCCACCAAGGCAACGAUGCGUAGCCGACCUGAGAGGGUGAUCGGCCACACUGGGACUGAGACACGGCCCAGACUCCUACGGGAGGCAGCAGUAGGGAAUCUUCCGCAAUGGACGAAAGUCUGACGGAGCAACGCCGCGUGAGUGAUGAAGGCUUUCGGGUCGUAAAACUCUGUUGUUAGGGAAGAACAAGUGCUAGUUGAAUAAGCUGGCACCUUGACGGUACCUAACCAGAAAGCCACGGCUAACUACGUGCCAGCCGCCGCAGUAA